rnacentral:lncRNA from 1 species
GCCGUCUCCCAGCGCUGGGGUGGCCUCGAGGACCGCUCCUCUCCGGAUGGGGCGCGACCUCGAGAAGGAGAAGGGCGCAGCGGCGCGAGGAAGGUGGGGCCGCCGCGACCGGGGACGAAGGCCCCCAGAGCGGGAGGUCCCGGAGCCAGGCACGCGGGAGGGGGCGGGCGCGGGGACCCAGCCGCCGGGAAGCCGCCGCCCCGCCCCGCCCCGGGCCGCGGGUCCGCCGGCUCGCCAGCCGCGGCGCAGGCGUGUGCGGGCGGGGGCAGCGCGGCCCUCCCCGCUAGCCGAGCGGCGCUCCCGCCCCGUCGCCUCGCGCCCGCGCCGCCGAGCCCGGCCAGCACCGUCGCGGCACCAUGCGGAGGCACCUCUCCCCUGGUCUCUUUACUACAAGCCUAGCAGAGCAGUGAGAAGACUCUUGAGAGUCCCUUGGCCUGCAAGGACAUCAAACCAGUCAAUCCUAAAGGAAAUCAGUCCUGAAUAUUCAUUGGAAGGACUGAUGCUGAAGCUCCAAUACUUUGGCCGCCUGAUGCAAAGAGCCGACUCAUUGGAAAAGACCCUGAUGCUGGGAAAGACUGAAGGUAGGAGAAGGGGGUCCAUAGAGGAUGAGGUGGUUGGAUAGUAUCACCAACUCAAUGCACAUGAGUUUGAACAAGCUCUGGGAGUUGGUGAUGGACAGGGAGGCCUGGCGUGCUGCAGUCCAUGGGGUCACACAGAGUCGGACAUGACUGAGUGACUAAACUGAGCAGAGCAGUAGCCUCCUAGCUGGUAACUGUUUCGUUUGUGUUAAUUUAUCUGGUCAUGCCACGUGGCAUGUGGGAUCUUAGUUCCCUGACUAGGGAGGACUUCCACCUCUCUGGGGUGGAAGUGCAGAUUCUUAACCGCUGGACCACCAGGAAAGUCCCGGGGUUGUUAAAUGAUAUUCUCCACAAAAAUGCAGAACUCUAUGAGGAGCAGAGUUUUUCUGUAAAGAUAUGUCUUUCUCACAGUGGAACAGCCUUUUCAUUUAUUAAAGGACACUUAAUAACCUCAGAGCAUUUGCUUUUGGAUUACAUUACUGGCUUGGAGAGCUA